AGUCGAACGGCAGCACGGAGCUUGCUCUGGUGGCGAGUGGCGAACGGGUGAGUAAUAUAUCGGAACGUACCCUGGAGUGGGGGAUAACGUAGCGAAAGUUACGCUAAUACCGCAUACGAUCUAAGGAUGAAAGUGGGGGAUCGCAAGACCUCAUGCUCGUGGAGCGGCCGAUAUCUGAUUAGCUAGUUGGUAGGGUAAAAGCCUACCAAGGCAUCGAUCAGUAGCUGGUCUGAGAGGACGACCAGCCACACUGGAACUGAGACACGGUCCAGACUCCUACGGGAGGCAGCAGUGGGGAAUUUUGGACAAUGGGCGAAAGCCUGAUCCAGCAAUGCCGCGUGAGUGAAGAAGGCCUUCGGGUUGUAAAGCUCUUUUGUCAGGGAAGAAACGGUGAGAGCUAAUAUCUCUUGCUAAUGACGGUACCUGAAGAAUAAGCACCGGCUAACUACGUGCCAGCAGCCGCGGUAAUACGUAGGGUGCAAGCGUUAAUCGGAAUUACUGGGCGUAAAGCGUGCGCAGGCGGUUUUGUAAGUCUGAUGUGAAAUCCCCGGGCUCAACCUGGGAAUUGCAUUGGAGACUGCAAGGCUAGAAUCUGGCAGAGGGGGGUAGAAUUCCACGUGUAGCAGUGAAAUGCGUAGAUAUGUGGAGGAACACCGAUGGCGAAGGCAGCCCCCUGGGUCAAGAUUGACGCUCAUGCACGAAAGCGUGGGGAGCAAACAGGAUUAGAUACCCUGGUAGUCCACGCCCUAAACGAUGUCUACUAGUUGUCGGGUCUUAAUUGACUUGGUAACGCAGCUAACGCGUGAAGUAGACCGCCUGGGGAGUACGGUCGCAAGAUUAAAACUCAAAGGAAUUGACGGGGACCCGCACAAGCGGUGGAUGAUG
rnacentral:rRNA from 1 species